ACGCUGGCGGUAUGCUUAACACAUGCAAGUCGAACGGAAACGAUACUAGCUUGCUAGUAGGCGUCGAGUGGCGGACGGGUGAGUAACGCGUAGGAAUCUGCCUGAUAGUGGGGGAUAGCCCGAAGAAAUUCGGAUUAAUACCGCAUAAUCUAUUCGUAGUAAAGUGGGGGACUUUCGAGCCUCACGCUAUCAGAUGAGCCUGCGUAAGAUUAGCUUGUUGGUAGGGUAAAAGCCUACCAAGGCGACGAUCUUUAGCUGGUCUGAGAGGAUGAUCAGCCACAUCGGGACUGAGACACGGCCCGAACUCCUACGGGAGGCAGCAGUGGGGAAUAUUGGACAAUGGGGGCAACCCUGAUCCAGCAAUACCGCGUGUGUGAAGAAGGCCUGAGGGUUGUAAAGCACUUUCAAUUGUGAAGAAAAGUUAGCGGUUAAUAACCGUUAGCCUUGACGUUAACUUUAGAAGAAGCACCGGCUAACUCCGUGCCAGCAGCCGCGGUAAUACGGAGGGUGCAAGCGUUAAUCGGAAUUACUGGGCGUAAAGCGUGCGUAGGUGGUUUAUUAAGUCAGAUGUGAAAGCCCCGGGCUUAACCUGGGAACUGCAUUUGAAACUGGUCAACUAGAGUAUGGUAGAGGAAAGUGGAAUUUCUGGUGUAGCGGUGAAAUGCGUAGAUAUCAGAAGGAACAUCAAUGGCGAAGGCAGCUUUCUGGACCAAUACUGACACUGAGGUACGAAAGCGUGGGUAGCAAACAGGAUUAGAUACCCUGGUAGUCCACGCCGUAAACGAUGAUAACUAGCCGUUGGGGGGAUUUACCCUUUAGUGGCGAAGCUAACGCGUUAAGUUAUCCGCCUGGGGAGUACGGCCGC
rnacentral:rRNA from 1 species